UCUCAAUGAUGUCCUUAAAUGGUGAUUUUUCCUAGGAAGAAAAAUGACAGAGAGAUGAGCAUUGACCUGAUAUGGGUAACGGCAACGUUUUGACUUUCUGCACUCUGCAGGCUGCUGCUGCUGCACAAUAAUAACAUCAAAUCUAUCAAUGCUCAUUCAUGGCAUUUUGGCACCCUUCUCCUCCUCCAAACUCGAAAGACAGAAUCAUCACUCCAUAUCAUUGCCAUUUACUCUGCCUGCCUCCCCCUCUCCCUAUCUCUCUAAAAAGUCAAAACACUCAAAUCCCAAUUUACAGCCUCCAGUUCUUUCUUCUCCAUCUGUUCUUUAUAAAGGAGACACAGAGAGCUUUUUUAAUCUGUUCUUAAAAGCUUGAGAUGAAAACAAUGGCAAAUGGGCUCAAUUUGAUCUUCCUUUUGGGUUUUCUACUUCUAUUGUCAAGGGCAGAAGCCAGAUCAAUGCCUGCUGCCUCCAUUUUACCUGAGUCUUAUCCAAAUGCUUCUUCUUCCAAUAUUCCCAUAAGAUCAUCACCUAUUGAGGAACCAAGCCUGGAUGUGGAUGAUGAUGAUGCUUGCAAGGGUUUAAACAGUGAAGAGUGUUUGAUCAGAAGGUCCAUGGUUGCUCACACAGACUAUAUCUACACACAAGACAUCAGCUCUACUGGACCAUGAAUCCAUGAUACUAAAAUAUGAUAUAUUUUCUCUUCACUAGCUAGCCACUGUAUUUCAUAAAUUUUGCUGAUCCUGUAAUGAAGGAAACUCAGGUUUUGUGUUUAAGUUGAUCAAUGAUGUGUUUCACGCUACAUCCCAGAGCUAGCUCACAUGAAAAACCAAAGUCAAAGUUAUGUUUGUUUGCGUGUACCA